ACAAGGGGUUUGGGGUGGGGUAACUUCAUCCAGGGCUCACACUGCCAAUUCCCCAACACAGGGGGUCAAAAUUCACACACUUGGCUUACUAUAAACUAUGCCUUUCCUUUAACAAUGCUUAUCUGAAACUAACUCUUUGUCUCCUUGAGGCAUCUUACAACACCUCUCUACCCUUUUUAAGGAUGGGUCUUGCCCGUCCCAGAUACCUGACACAGGAAAUCUUUCAGUUACCAGAUACAGAGAGGAGUCAAUGAAAGACUUUUGUGGGUGCCUGACAUCUGGCCAGCAUCAAUCCAUGACACAAAUUUACAGUGUUUAAAACAGCAAGAAGAAGGAUGCCAUAAGAACAGAAUUCAGAGGUGUGCAAGAGGGCUUGAGUUCUACAGCAAGUGGAAGCUCUAGUUCUACACCAAGAAGAAGCAGCAUGUGGGACAGAAAUGAGCUGUCUGGCCUGAGACUACAUUUUGAACCCAGGUGUUGUAUGAUGUAUAUCAUCCUCUACUCACCUAUUCCCCAGUCUCCAUGAAAGAGAAGAGGGUGGUUAUCUGAGCCAGGAAUAAACAGCAGCACCUCCCUGGUCCAGGUGGAAAACAACCACACUGAAGGAUGAAAUGCCCAUCUGAAGACAGUCUUGUUGCCAGAAGUUCUAACAAAAACAAAAUCCCCAAUGUCUU